rnacentral:rRNA from 1 species
AGUGAACGCUGGCGGUAGGCCUAACACAUGCAAGUCGAACGGCAGCACAGUAAGAGCUUGCUCUUACGGGUGGCGAGUGGCGGACGGGUGAGGAAUACAUCGGACUCUACUUUUUCGUGGGGGAUAACGUAGGUAAACUUACGCUAAUACCGCAUACGACCUACGGGUGAAAGCAGGGGAUCUUCGGACCUUGCGCGAUUGAAUGAGCCGAUGUCGGAUUAGCUAGUUGGCGGGGUAAAGGCCCACCAAGGCGACGAUCCGUAGCUGGUCUGAGAGGAUGGUAAGCCACACUGGAGCUGAGACAGGGUCAAGGCGCCUAAGAGAGGCAGCAGAGGGGAAUAUUGGACAAUGGGCGCAAGCAUGAUCCAGCCAUACCGCGUGGGUGAAGAAGGCCUUCGGGUUGUAAAGACCUUUUGUUGGGAAAGAAAAGCAGCAGGUUAAUACCCCGCUGUUCUGACGGUACCCAAAGAAUAAGCACCGGCUAACUUCGUG